CGAGCGAACAGACGAGGAGCUUGCUCCUCUGACGUUAGCGGCGGACGGGUGAGUAACACGUGGAUAACCUACCUAUAAGACUGGGAUAACUUCGGGAAACCGGAGCUAAUACCGGAUAAUAUAUUGAACCGCAUGGUUCAAUAGUGAAAGACGGUUUUGCUGUCACUUAUAGAUGGAUCCGCGCCGCAUUAGCUAGUUGGUAAGGUAACGGCUUACCAAGGCGACGAUGCGUAGCCGACCUGAGAGGGUGAUCGGCCACACUGGAACUGAGACACGGUCCAGACUCCUACGGGAGGCAGCAGUAGGGAAUCUUCCGCAAUGGGCGAAAGCCUGACGGAGCAACGCCGCGUGAGUGAUGAAGGUCUUCGGAUCGUAAAACUCUGUUAUUAGGGAAGAACAAAUGUGUAAGUAACUAUGCACGUCUUGACGGUACCUAAUCAGAAAGCCACGGCUAACUACGUGCCAGCAGCCGCGGUAAUACGUAGGUGGCAAGCGUUAUCCGGAAUUAUUGGGCGUAAAGCGCGCGUAGGCGGUUUUUUAAGUCUGAUGUGAAAGCCCACGGCUCAACCGUGGAGGGUCAUUGGAAACUGGAAAACUUGAGUGCAGAAGAGGAAAGUGGAAUUCCAUGUGUAGCGGUGAAAUGCGCAGAGAUAUGGAGGAACACCAGUGGCGAAGGCGACUUUCUGGUCUGUAACUGACGCUGAUGUGCGAAAGCGUGGGGAUCAA
rnacentral:rRNA from 1 species